rnacentral:rRNA from 1 species
AAUAAUGGUGCAUGGAAUGAUGGAAGAGGACCUCGGUUCCAUUCUGUUGGUUUUCGCGAGGUAAUGAUUAAGAGGGACAGACGGAGGCAUUCGUAUUGCGACGCUAGAGGUGAAAUUCUUGGACCGUCGCAAGACGAACUACUGCGAAAGCAUUUGCCGAGAAUGUUUUCAUUAAUCAAGAACGAAAGUUAGAGGUUCGAAGGCGAUCAGAUACCGCCCUAGUUCUAACCAUAAACGAUGCCGACCAGCGAUCCGCCGGAGUUCCUUCUAUGACUCGGCGGGCAGCUUCCGGGAAACCAAAGUCUUUGGGUUCCGGGGGAAGUAUGGUUGCAAAGCUGAAACUUAAAGGAAUUGACGGAAGGGCACCACCAGGAGUGGAGCCUGCGGCUUAAUUUGACUCAACACGGGAAAACUCACCCGGCCCGGACACCGGAAGGAUUGACAGAUUGAGAGCUCUUUCUUGAUUCGGUGGGUGGUGGUGCAUGGCCGUUCUUAGUUGGUGGAGCGAUUUGUCUGGUUAAUUCCGAUAACGAACGAGACUCUGGCCUGCUAAAUAGGAGCCGAUC